UGGGGAAUUUUGGACAAUGGGGGCAACCCUGAUCCAGCCAUGCCGCGUGCGGGAAGAAGGCCUUCGGGUUGUAAACCGCUUUUAGCCGGGACGAAAGCUGUACGGAUAACACCCGUGCUGGUUGACGGUACCGGCGGAAUAAGCACCGGCUAACUACGUGCCAGCAGCCGCGGUAAUACGUAGGGUGCGAGCGUUAAUCGGAAUUACUGGGCGUAAAGCGUGCGCAGGCGGUUGUGCAAGACCGAUGUGAAAUCCCCGGGCUUAACCUGGGAAUGGCAUUGGUGACUGCACGGCUAGAGUGUGUCAGAGGGGGGUAGAAUUCCACGUGUAGCAGUGAAAUGCGUAGAGAUGUGGAGGAAUACCGAUGGCGAAGGCAGCCCCCUGGGAUAACACUGACGCUCAUGCACGAAAGCGUGGGGAGCAAAC
rnacentral:rRNA from 1 species